rnacentral:rRNA from 1 species
AAGUAUCGUUUAUUGAUAGGCCUUACUACUUGGAUAACCGUGGUAAUUCUAGAGCUAAUCCAUGCUAAAAGACCCGACUGCCGGAAGGGUUGUAUUUAUUAGAUUAAAAGCCAAUGCCCUCUGGGCUCACUGGUGAAUCAUAGUAACUUCGCGAAUCGCAUGGCCUAGUGCCGGCGAUGGCUCAUUCAAAUUUCUUCCCUAUCAACUUUCGAUGUUUGGGUAGUGGCCAAACAUGGUUGCAACGGGUAACGGAGGGUUAGGGCUCGACCCCGGAGAAGGAGCCUGAGAAACGGCUACUACAUCUAAGGAAGGCAGCAGGCGCGCAAAUUACCCAAUCCCGAUACGGGGAGGUAGUGACAAUAAAUACUGAUACAGGGCUCUUUUGGGUCUUGUAAUUGGAAUGAGUACAAUUUAAAUCCCUUAACGAGGAACAAUUAGAGGGCAAGUCUGGUGCCAGCAGCCGCGGUAAUUCCAGCUCUAAUAGCGUAUAUUAAAGUUGUUGUGGUUAAAAAGCUCGUAGUUGAACCUUGGGCCUGGCUGGCAGGUCCGCCUCACCGCGUGCACUUCGCCGGCCGGGCCUUUCCCUCUGUGGAACCCUAUGCCCUUCACUGGGUGUAGCGGGGAAACAGGACUUUUACUUUGAAAAAAUUAGAGUGCUCCAGGCAGGCCUAUGCUCGAAUACAUUAGCAUGGAAUAAUGAAAUAGGACAUGCGCGGUUCUAUUUUGUUGGUUUCUAGGACCGCGGUAAUGAUUAAUAGGGACAGUCGGGGGCAUCAGUAUUCAAUUGUCAGAGGUGAAAUUCUUGGAUUUAUUGAAGACUAACUACUGCGAAAGCAUUUGCCAAGGAUGUUUUCAUUAAUCAGGAACGAAAGUUAGGGGAUCGAAGACGAUCAGAUACCGUCGUAGUCUUAACCAUAAACUAUGCCGACUAGGGAUCGGACGACAGUCGUUUGUGACUCGUUCGGCACCUUACGAGAAAUCAAA